ensembl:antisense 4930539J05Rik RIKEN cDNA 4930539J05 gene
UCGGAUUGGGUAGAGCCUUAGGUAUGGAACCGCAAGAGGAAUAUCCUAGAAUCGUCUUUUCCUUCUGCUGUUUCAGUUUUUGAGCCCCAAAGUGACAAAAUACUAGGGAAUCGGUCUGGAUUAAAUCCUGGGGGUGAGAUCUGUUAAGUGUGCCACUGCCCUGUUUUAGUCUGCCCUGCAUAAAAUGUAGAGGGCCGUUUGUCAUCGAGAGUACUCUUUGGGUAAAAAGUAAGACUUUAACUUUUGAAAGACAUUCAAAAAGAUCAAUGUUUAGGGUUUUCUAGCAUCCUUAAACGACCCUACUUAAAGUGGAGGUCCUUCAGGACUUCGUGGAAAUAAUUUGAAUUUUGAGAACCUGUUGCAGGCAAUAUUCCGCAAGUAAAAUGAUAAAAGUCAAUGUAUAGCCGAAGAGUGACGGUGUAUACCAUAGGUAAUAUCACUGGAGCAGUUAACGGAAUGCAGCUGCCUCAGCUACUCGCCAUAGGAACCACCUGGAGUCUUGUUUAAAAUGCUGAUUUUAUUUAGUAGGCCCGAGAUUAUACUUACAACAAGCAGCCAAGUGAUAGAGAUUACUUCAUCAGAACCAUUUUCUGAGUUAGUAAACCCUCAGUACUUACCUCGUGCCCUACGGGACACCUCCGACUUUCUCCUCCCUGAACAGCCCAUUGUUCUCUCCUGGCUAACCAGUAGACACAAAGCAAAGAGUUAAGCAUGGGGGUGGGAGGAGAACCCCAGAUCUGAGUUCUUGCUUACGGCUUUCUAUUUAUGAUAGUGGUCUGGUUCCACAUAUUAUAGUUUUGUUUCUUCACCACCAAGUUAGAUGUAAUAAUGCCCGCCCUUUGUCACUGAGUUGCUGUGUUUUAAAUGUCAUAAUGUGAAAGGACACUGUAGGCUGUUACUGGUUAUAUCAAUGCUGUUUUAAGAUAGCGUACAAAUAAUGGGUUUCCCUGUGACAGUGUCAUGUAUAUGUCACACUUUGUUCUUGUUACCCCCUACACACACUGCUGCUGCUCCUUGCUAUCAGUCACAAUUCAGCUAUUUAACUGGCCAGAGUGAAAUAUGAAACAUUUUGAAAUAUAUGUAUAUAUAAUAAAAUAGAUUAUAUCUAUGAAAAUUAUGUGCCGGGCAUGACACUUGUUUUCUUUUACAAAUGAAGAAACUGGGCACAGAUUGCUAUUACACCAAGGGGACAGAGCUAUUAAGUGGGAGAAGUGGAAUUUGAAUAAGCCAGGGUGCACAGAUUAGUGAGGAACCUAACUGGAACCUACCAACUAAAAACUCAACAUACAGGGAGGACAAUGAAGUAACCUUCAAAGAAACCAGUUCCUGUUGCCCUAAUCUAACAAGUUUCAACAAAGAAGUACACUGAAACUUUACUGCUAUGCAAUAAAGCACAGCAAACUGG